rnacentral:rRNA from 1 species
UGGGGAAUAUUGGACAAUGGGCGCAAGCCUGAUCCAGCCAUGCCGCGUGGGUGAUGAAGGCCCUAGGGUUGUAAAGCCCUUUCAGCGGGGAAGAUAAUGACGGUACCCGUCAGAAGAAGCCCCGGCUAACUUCGUGCCAGCAGCCGCGGUAAUACGAAGGGGGCUAGCGUUGCUCGGAAUUACUGGGCGUAAAGCGCACGUAGGCGGCUUUCUAAGUCGGGGGUGAAAUCCUGGAGCUCAACUCCAGAACUGCCUUCGAUACUGGAAAGCUCGAGUCCGGGAGAGGUGAGUGGAACUGCGAGUGUAGAGGUGAAAUUCGUAGAUAUUCGCAAGAACACCAGUGGCGAAAGGCGGCUCACUGGCCCGGUACUGACGCUGAGGUGCGAAAGCGUGGGGAGCGAAACAGGAUUAGAUACCCUGGUAGUCCACGCCGUAAACGAUGGAUGCUAGCCGUUGGCGAGCUUGCUCGUCAGUGGCGCAGCUAACGCUUU